rfam:Aquimixticola soesokkakensis strain CECT 8620 genome assembly, contig: 0001
GCCCAGAUGGCGGAAUUGGUAGACGCGCACGGUUCAGGUCCGUGUGCCGCAAGGCGUGGAGGUUCGAGUCCUCUUCUGGGCA